rnacentral:lncRNA from 1 species
GCACCGGCACGCCGCCUGCCGGUCCGCGCUGGUGCGCGCCGCGCUGUUGAGGCUGCGCACGCCGCCGCAGCAACCCGAGGGCAUCGCCUUGGCGUUCCCCGUCGCGUACGGGAUGCACGGCGCCAGCGACGACGCCACCUGACCGCAGGUGAUCGCCGCCGACGACGACGCCACCAGCGCCGCCGCCGCGAACACCAUGGCCAGGGCGAACACCGCCUGCAUCUUCCUCAUCGGAGCCAUUGUGUUAUACAAUCGGUCGCGUGUGCUAAUAAGCUGCUAACCAACUGCUAGCUCGAUCGAUGAGUGUGGAUGGCUG